AGAAUGACUCUCGGCAACGGAUAUCUCGGCUCUUGCAUCGAUGAAGAACGUAGCGAAAUGCGAUACUUGGUGUGAAUUGCAGAAUCCCGUGAACCAUCGAGUCUUUGAACGCAAGUUGCGCCUGAGGUCACUAGGUCGAGGGCACGUCUGCCUGGGCGUCACAC
rnacentral:rRNA from 1 species